GCUGGGUGCGGUGGCUCACACCUGUAAUCCCAGCACCUUGGGAGGCCGAGGCAGGCGGAUCACCUGAGGUCAGGAGUUUGAGACCAGCCUGGCCAACACGGUGAAACCCUGUCUCUA
ensembl:misc_RNA Metazoa_SRP Metazoan signal recognition particle RNA